UACGGAGGGUGCGAGCGUUGUCCGGAAUCACUGGGCGUAAAGGGCGCGUAGGCGGCAUGCCAAGCGUGUGGUGAAAGCCCGGGGCUCAACCCCGGGUCGGCCGUGCGGACUGGCGUGCUUGAGCACUGUAGGGGCGGGUGGAAUUCCGGGUGUAGCGGUGGAAUGCGUAGAGAUCCGGAAGAACACCGGUGGCGAAGGCGGGUCUCUGGGCAGUAACUGACGCUGAGGCACGAAGGCCAGGGGAGCAAACGGG
rnacentral:rRNA from 1 species